UCUCCAGGUUGGGGGAGGAUCAUCUUUGUGCCCGUGGGUUUAGCAGCUCUCAUAAUAAUUGUUGUGGUGGUCAACAUGUGGACGAGAGCUAAAGAGAAGAAAACACAGACGGAGGAAAUCGCUGUGCGUUAUGAUGUAGAUGAUGAUACAGUGAACUAUGAAAACAUCAGAUCUCCUGAUGGAGUUUGACCAACACUUCUGCCUCCAUCAGACUCCACUGAUCAACUCGUCACCUUUUACUGGACUAGUUCAAGACUGGAAAUAACAAAAAAAAUCAUUAAGGCUUAUUUUAUUUUAGUCUGAUGUAUUUUCCUGCAUCAAUUGUAAAAACCUUUUCUCAUCUGCAGCCAGUUGAGAACAGCAGCUGGAUUUGAACUUCAUUUAACUCUUGUUAACUUCCUGAAAUAGUCUUCCAGCUGCAGAUUUCAGAGCUGAUUUUAAGAUGUACUGUGUGUGUGUCAGUGUGCGUGUGUGUGUGUGUAUAUAUGUGUUU